rnacentral:rRNA from 1 species
AACGAACGCUGGCGGCAGGCUUAACACAUGCAAGUCGAGCGCCCCGCAAGGGGAGCGGCAGACGGGUGAGUAACGCGUGGGAAUAUACCCAUCCCUACGGAAUAGCUCCGGGAAACUGGAAUUAAUACCGUAUACGCCCUACGGGGGAAAGAUUUAUCGGGGAUGGAUGAGACCGCGUUGGCUUAGACAGUUGGUGGGGUAAAGGCCUACCAAGGCGACGAUCCAUAGCUGGUGUGAGAGGAUAAUCAGCCACAUUGGGACUGAGACACGGCCCAAACUACUACGGGAGGCAGCAGUGGGGAAAAUGGGACAAUGGGGGCAACCCUGAUCCAGCCAUGCCGCGUGAGUGAUGAAGGCCUUAGGGUUGUAAAGCUCUUUCACCGGGGAAGAUAAUGACGGUACUUGAGGAGGAAGCCCCGGCUAACUACGUGCCAGCCGCCGCAGUAA